ACCAGAGCCGUGGUGGUGCGGUGCAGGAAAUCCUGCCGGGCGGUGCGGAUCUUGCGGUGCGCGCGGGCGACCUUGGCCUUGGCCUUGCGGCGGUUGCCGCUACCGCGCUGGCAGCGGGCCAUCCGCCGUUGGUAGCGGGCCAGGUUGCGGGCCUUACGGACCAGAUGCCGCGGGUUCGCGAUCCGUUCACCGUCACUGGUCACCACCAGAUCUGUGAGACCGAGGUCGACGCCGAUCGCGUGCCCGGCGGGCUCAGCCGGGGCGGGCUCGGUGGUGUCGGUGGUGUCGAUGGCGAACGUCACGUACCAGCAGCCGUCCGGGUCGCGGGACAGCACCACCAUCGUCGGAUCCAGCGCGGCCAGAUCCACCUCACCGAAGGACCACACAAAUCGCAGCGACGUGCUGGUCUUGGCCAGUGUCAGCACACCCUCGCGCAUCCGGAACGCCGAGCGGGUGUAGUGCGCGCUCUGCCGCCCGGUACGGGACUUGAACCUCGGGAAACGGGCCCGCCCGGCGAAGAAGUUGCCGAACGCGGUGUGCUGGUGGCGCAGCGUCUGCUGCAGCGGAACCGAGGACACCUCCGACAGAAACGCGAGUUCCUCGG
rnacentral:antisense_RNA from 1 species